rnacentral:sRNA from 1 species
CCUGGUAUAGUUAAAAAAAAUCUCCUCUGGUACUACUGAAACAACUAAUUUUUCUUAUUUUGUUUGUUUCUCUUUAUUAUUAAAUACUAUCUGAAUUAACUCUUUAGUAGUUGGCCUGGUUGAAGCUCUGUGAGGAACAAAGCAGCCCUCUCUAGGUGAACUGCUUGACUUUACCACCUGAAGGAGUAUUUACUGCAAGAAUUAACAAAGCAUGCUGCAGUGCAAUGGCACGAUCUUGGCUCACCGCAACCUCUACCUCCGGGGUUCAAGCGAUUCUCCUACCUCAGCCUCCUGAGUAGCUGGGAUUACAGACAUGUGUCAUCACCCCGGCUAAUUCUGUAUUUUUAGUAGAGAUGGGGUUUCUCCAUGUUGGCCAGGCUGGUCUUGAACUCCCAAUCUCAGGUGAUCCUCCUGCCUCAGCCUCCCAAAGUGCUGGGAUUACAGGUGUUCCUGAUCCAAGCAGAACCCUGUUAUUUGAAGAGCCUGAGAAAUCUUAUCCCAUUUACAAAUAUCCUGGGAGUGCAUCCAAAGUGAAACUUGGGCAUCCUCAAUACUAAGAAAUCUCUGAGAAUGGCUGGGUCUUGGCUCUUUGACCUUACCUCUACUCCACUGAAAAACAUGAUUAUCU